rnacentral:lncRNA from 1 species
CGCGUGAAGACUCCAUUUUCUAUUUUCAGUGUUUGAACGAAAACAAGGUCUCCCGGUCGGAAUAUUAUCGCUAUUUUACGAGAAAAAUCGCAUAAAAAUAGAUUUUAAACAGCGUUUGACAUGCUUCGAAGGACGGUAAUGGAAUAUUUAGAAUUUUUUUGUCACGAUAUGCGCCGGCGCGUCACCCUUCGGAUAGUGUCUUGAACGCAAGAACAAAACGCAGCUAUUUGGAUAUAACUAUGGAUUAUUUGGAACCAAAACAACAUUGGGUGUUGAAGUAGAAGUCCUGGGAGUGCAUUCUGACGAAGAACAGCAAAGGAAAAAGAUACCUUCAUCCUCUCACAACACAGAAAGGCUUGAUUGAGAGAGAUGAGAAAGGGACUGGUACAGACGUAACUUCAAAAUCACCUAGCUUACGGCAGAAUGGCUUUCCACGACAUCUGGAUAAUGCUUACAGAGAGAAGAGGCUGGAAGAAAGGAGGCCCUACCAGAUGAUAAUCCUAUUUGCCACAUCUUCAGUUUAAGCCUACUGGAGAGUGUGUGCCCUCAGGCCUGGAAGGAAGCUAAAGUCAUUCCGCUACCCAAGAAUAGUAAAGCCCCCUUUACUGGCUCAAAUAGCCAACCAAUCAGCCUGUUACCAACCCUUAGUAAACUGCUGGAAAAAAUGGUGUUUGACCAGAUACAAUGAUAUUUUACAGUAAACAAAUUGUUAUGGCUUUACACCCCCUGCGAUGAUGUGGAUAAAGAGUUACUUGUCUAACAGAACACACAGGGUGUUCUUUAAUGGAAGCCUUUCAAAUAUAAUCCAGUUGGAAUCCGGAAUUCCCCAGGGUAGCUGUUUAGGCCCCUUGCUUUUUUUCCAUUCCUACCAACGACAUGCCACUUACUUUGAGUAAAGCCAGAGUGUCUAUGUAUGCGGAUGACUCAACACUAUACAUGUCAGCUACUACAGCGACUGAAAUGACCGCAACACUCAAAGAGCUGAAGUUAGUUUCAGAGUGGGUGGCAAAGAAUAAGUUAGCCCUAAAUAUUUCUAAAACUAAAAGCAUUGUAUUUGGAACUAAACCCUAAACCUAAACUACAUCUUGUAAUAAAU